AGAGUUUGAUCCUGGCUCAGGAUGAACGCUAGCUACAGGCUUAACACAUGCAAGUCGAGGGGAAACGACAUCGAAAGCUUGCUUUUGAUGGGCGUCGACCGGCGCACGGGUGAGUAACGCGUAUCCAACCUGCCCACCACUUGGGGAUAACCUUGCGAAAGUAAGACUAAUACCCAAUGAUAUCUCUAGAAGACAUCUGAAAGAGAUUAAAGAUUUAUCGGUGAUGGAUGGGGAUGCGUCUGAUUAGCUUGUUGGCGGGGUAACGGCCCACCAAGGCGACGAUCAGUAGGGGUUCUGAGAGGAAGGUCCCCCACAUUGGAACUGAGACACGGUCCAAACUCCUACGGGAGGCAGCAGUGAGGAAUAUUGGUCAAUGGGCGAGAGCCUGAACCAGCCAAGUAGCGUGCAGGAUGACGGCCCUAUGGGUUGUAAACUGCUUUUAUAAGGGAAUAAAGUGAGUCUCGUGAGACUUUUUGCAUGUACCUUAUGAAUAAGGACCGGCUAAUUCCGUGCCAGCAGCCGCGGUAAUACGGAAGGUCCGGGCGUUAUCCGGAUUUAUUGGGUUUAAAGGGAGCGUAGGCCGGAGAUUAAGCGUGUUGUGAAAUGUAGACGCUCAACGUCUGCACUGCAGCGCGAACUGGUUUCCUUGAGUACGCACAAAGUGGGCGGAAUUCGUGGUGUAGCGGUGAAAUGCUUAGAUAUCACGAAGAACUCCGAUUGCGAAGGCAGCUCACUGGAGCGCAACUGACGCUGAAGCUCGAAAGUGCGGGUAUCGAACAGGAUUAGAUACCCUGGUAGUCCGCACGGUAAACGAUGGAUGCCCGCUGUUGGUCUGAAUAGGUCAGCGGCCAAGCGAAAGCAUUAAGCAUCCCACCUGGGGAGUACGCCGGCAACGGUGAAACUCAAAGGAAUUGACGGGGGCCCG
rnacentral:rRNA from 1 species